GAGUGUAGUGGCACAGUGGAUUACAUGUCUGACUAAGGAUCAGGAGAUUCUAGGUUAAACUCCUGGCUGGCUCA